rnacentral:rRNA from 1 species
CCUACGGGAGGCAGCAGUGAGGAAUAUUGGUCAAUGGACGAGAGUCUGAACCAGCCAAGUAGCGUGAAGGAUGACUGCCCUCUGGGUUGUAAACUUCUUUUAUAUGGGAAUAAAACAGGGUAUGCAUACCUUCUUGUAUUUACCAUAUGAAUAAGGAUCGGGUAACUCCGUGCCAGCAGCCGCGGUAAUACGGAGGAUCCGAGCGUUAUCCGGAUUGAUUGGGUUUAAAGGGAGCGCAGGUGGAUUGUUAAGUUAGUUGUGAAAGGUUGCGGCUCAACCGUAAAAUUGCAGUUGAAACUGGCAGUCUUGAGUACAGUAGAGGUGGGCAGAAUUCGUGGUGUAGCGGUGAAAUGCUUAGAUAUCACGAAGAACACCGAUUGCGAAGGCAGCUCACUGGACUGAAACUGACACUGAGGCUCGAAAGUGUGGGUAUCAAACAGGAUUAGAUACCCUAGUAGUC